rnacentral:rRNA from 1 species
AGAGUUUGAUCAUGGCUCAGAUUGAACGCUGGCGGCACGCCUAACACAUGCAAGUCGAGCGGUAACAUGUUUAGUAGUAAUACUAGAUGAUGACGAGCGGCGGACGGGUGAGGAAAACGUAGGAACUUGCCCAUAAGAGGGGGACAACCAAGGGAAACUUUGGCUAAUACCGCAUAAACUCGAGAGAGAAAAGCUGCCGCGAGGUAGCGCUUAUGGAGAGGCCUGCGUCCGAUUAGCUAGUUGGUGAGGUAAGAGCUCACCAAGGCGAUGAUCGGUAACUGGUCUGAGAGGACGACCAGUCACACUGGGACUGAGACACGGCCCAGACUCCUACGGGAGGCAGCAGUGGGGAAUCUUGGACAAUGGGGGCAACCCUGAUCCAGCGAUGCCGCGUGAGUGAAGAAGGCCUUCGGGUCGUAAAGCUCUUUAGGUUGGGAAGAAGGGUGUGAGGGGAUAAUCCUUACAUUUUGACGGUACCGACGGAAUAAGCACCGGCAAACUCUGUGCCAGCAGCCGCGGUAAUACAGAGGGUGCGAGCGUUAAUCGGAGUAACUGGGCGUAAAGGGCGCGUAGGCGGUGCUAUGAGUGUGAUGUGAAAGCCCCGGGCUUAACCUGGGAAGUGCAUCGCAAACGAUAGUACUGGAGUAGAUGAGAGGGUGGCGGAAUUUCCGGUGUAGCGGUGAAAUGCGUAGAGAUCGGAAGGAACGUCGAUGGCGAAAGCAGCCACCUGGCAUCAUACUGACGCUGAGCGCGAAAGCGUGGGGAGCGAACAGGAUUAGAUACCCUGGUAGUCCACGCUGUAAACGAUGAGACUAAAGUUGUUAGGGAACCUAGCAGUCUUGAAGCUACGCGAUAAGUCUUCCGCCUGGGAAGUACGGCCGCAAGUGAAACUCAAUGAUGACGGGGCCGCACAGCGGUGGAGCAUGUGGUUUACUCGAUGCACGCGAGACCUUACCUACCCUUGACAUCCUGCGAAUUCUGC